rnacentral:antisense_RNA from 1 species
AGACAGGAAAAGCACCCAAAAGGUAAAGGCCAGCCUGGUUCAUGCCAGACACCUAACCCCCUGCUACCACAUGCUGUUUUCCACACUGGGUGCUGGCCUGUGGGAACCUGCACAAGUCGCAGCAACAUGGCCCCACGAAGUCUUUGACAGGCUGCCCCCUGCUGGCUGCUGCGGGAACCACAUGGCAGAUGGCUCCUGAUGUCCCCUGGAAGUCAGGUCUUGCUCUGUCACCCAGGCUGGAGUGUAGUGGUGCGAUCAUGCCUCACAGCAGCCUUGACAUCCCCAGGCUCAGAUAAUCCUCCCACCUCAGCCUCCUGAUUAGCUGCGACUACAGGCGCAUGACACCACACCCAGGGUCCCAUCCAGAUACCACAUGACACCCGGUUGUCCUGUCUUCGGAGGCUCCUCCUGGCUGGGACAGUUUCUCAGACUUUCCUUGUUGCAAUGGCUGCUCAAGCUUUGAGGAGUACAGUCAGUGUUCUGUAGAACGUCUCUCUCGCUACUGGGAUUCGUCUAACGUUUUUCUCAUGAUUAGACUGGGGUUGGGCGUGUUUAGAAAGAAGACCACCGAAGUAAAGUGCCCCACUCAUCACACCGUGUCCAGGGUACACACCACCAUGUGACUUCUCCCUGUCGCUGCUGACCUGGCCACCUGGCUGAGGCAGGAUUGCUCAGCUUCCUCCAUUCUCAGCUUUACACUUGUGAUAUCCUUUCCACGCUGCACUCGCUGGAAGGGAGUCACUGUAUGCAGCCA